rnacentral:tRNA from 1 species
GAGGGUACAACUCAGUGGUAGAGUACGUGCCUAGCAUGCAUGAGGUCCUGGGUUUAAUCCCCAGUAUCUCCA